GGGAGCAUGAGUGUCAUAAAGUGCCUG
rnacentral:sRNA from 1 species